rnacentral:lncRNA from 1 species
AACAAAGCCAAUGAAGGACACUGUGGCAUCACGGCAUAGACUAUUGGGGAACCAGUGGGUAAAUGUUUGGAAAAUAUUACGCUCUGGGACAGUUUUCAGUUAUUUAUAACAUUCUAGGGCAGUUUGUUCUACUAGCACACUUUAUCCUAACAACUUCUUCCUUUCCUAAACUAACUCGCUAACAUCUGACUAUCAUAAUUACUAACUAAAUGUAAUUUUAGCUG